rnacentral:rRNA from 1 species
UACGAAGGGGGCUAGCGUUGCUCGGAAUCACUGGGCGUAAAGGGUGCGUAGGCGGGUCUUUAAGUCAGGGGUGAAAUCCUGGAGCUCAACUCCAGAACUGCCUUUGAUACUGAGGAUCUUGAGUUUCGGGAGAGGUGAGUGGAACUGCGAGUGUAGAGGUGAAAUUCGUAGAUAUUCGCAAGAACACCAGUGGCGAAGGCGGCUCACUGGCCGAUACUGACGCUGAGGCACGAAGCGUGGAGCAAACAGG